GUCUUAAUAGUUUAUAAAUAAAAACUUUAUCUUUGUAAGUUAGAAAAGGCUCACCUUAAGACU
rnacentral:tRNA from 1 species